rnacentral:rRNA from 1 species
ACGGAAGGCAGCAGUGGGGAAUAUUGCACAAUGGGCGCAAGCCUGAUGCAGCAACGCCGCGUGAGUGAUGAAGGUCUUCGGAUUGUAAAACUCUGUCCUUAGGGACGAAACAAAUGACGGUACCUGAGGAGGAAGCCCCGGCUAACUACGUGCCAGCAGCCGCGGUAAUACGUAGGGGGCGAGCGUUAUCCGGAAUUAUUGGGCGUAAAGAGUACGUAGGUGGUUUUGUAAGCGUAAGGUGAAAGCCCGGGGCUUAACUCCGGCGAGCCUUACGAACUGCAAGACUUGAGUGCAGGAGGGGAAAGUGGAAUUCCUAGUGUAGCGGUGAAAUGCGUAGAUAUUAGGAGGAACACCAGUGGCGAAGGCGGCUUACUGGACUGUAACUGACGUUGAGGCUCGAAAGCGUGGGGAGCAAACAGGAUUAGAUACCCUGGUA